rnacentral:rRNA from 1 species
CUACGGGAUGCAGCAGUGAGGAAUAUUGCGCAAUGGGGGAAACCCUGACGCAGCGACGCCGCGUGGAUGAUGAAGGCCUUAGGGUCGUAAAAUCCUGUCAGGUGGGAAGAAGUGGAUAUAGAUUAAUACUCUAUUUCUUUGACGGUACCACCAAAGGAAGCACCGGCUAACUCCGUGCCAGCAGCCGCGGUAAUACGGAGGGUGCAAACGUUGUUCGGAAUUACUGGGCGUAAAGCGCGCGUAGGCGGUUUGUUAAGUCAGAUGUGAAAGUCCAUGGCUCAACUAGGGAAGUGCAUUUGAACUGGCAGACUUGAGUACUGGAGGGGGUGAUGGAAUUCCCGGUGUAGAGGUGAAAUUCGUAGAUAUCGGGAGGAAUACCGGUGGCGAGGGCGAUCACCUGGCCAGAUACUGACGCUGAGGUGCGAAAGCGUGGGGAGCAAACAGGAUUAGAUACCCCUGUAGUC